rnacentral:rRNA from 1 species
UACAGGGGGUGCAACCGUUGCUCGGAAUUAUUGGGCGUAAAGCGCGCGUAGGCGGCCACUUAAGUCGGAUGUGAAAGCCCCUGGCUCAACUGGGGAAGUGCACCCGAAACUGAGCGGCUUGAAUGCAAAAGAGGGUCGCGGAAUUCCCGGUGUAGAGGUGAAAUUCGUAGAUAUCGGGAGGAACACCGGUGGCGAAGGCGGCGACCUGGGUUGACAUUGACGCUGAGGCGCGAAAGCGUGGGGAGCAAACAGG